rnacentral:pre_miRNA from 1 species
GAGAUACUCCCUCCGUCCGGAAAUACUUGUCCUCGAAAUGGUUGUAUCUAGACUUAUUUUAGUUAUAAAUACAUUCAUUUUAUUCAUUUUUAGGACAAGUAUUCCCGGACGGAGGGAGUAGUUG